rnacentral:rRNA from 1 species
UGACGGUACCUGACUAAGAAGCACCGGCUAAAUACGUGCCAGCAGCCGCGGUAAUACGUAUGGUGCAAGCGUUAUCCGGAUUUACUGGGUGUAAAGGGAGCGCAGGCGGUCCUGCAAGCCAGAGGUGAAAACCCGGGGCUCAACCCCGUGAUUGCCUUUGGAACUGUGGGACUUGAGUACUGGAGGGGCAGGCGGAAUUCCUGGUGUAGCGGUGAAAUGCGUAGAUAUCAGGAGGAACACCGGUGGCGAAGGCGGCCUGCUGGACAGAAACUGACGCUGAGGCUCGAAAGCGUGGGGAGCAAACAGGAUUAGAUACCCUG